rnacentral:rRNA from 1 species
AUAUUGACAUGGGGCAACCUGAUCAGCAAUGCCCGCGUGUGUGAAGAAGUGCUUCGGGGUUGUAAAGCACUUUUUUGUCACGGGAAAGAAAAAAACGUCGUGGCUAAUACCCGUGGCGGAUGACGGUACCGGAAGAAUAAGCACCGGCUAACUACGUUGCCAGCAGCCGCGGUAAUACGUAGGGUGCAAGCGUUAAUCGGAAUUACUGGGCGUAAAGCGUGCGCAGGCGGUUCGCUAAGACAGAUGUGAAAUCCCCGGGCUUAACCUGGGAACUGCAUUUGUGACUGGCGGGCUAGAGUAUGGCAGAGGGGGGUAGAAUUCCACGUGUAGCAGUGAAAUGCGUAGAGAUGUGGAGGAAUACCGAUGGCGAAGGCAGCCCCCUGGGCCAAUACUGACGCUCAUGCACGAAAGCGUGGGGAGCAAACAGGAUUAGAUACCCUGGUAGUCCACGCCCUAAACGAUGUCAACUGGUUGUCGGGCCUUCAUUGGCUUGGUAACGUAGCUAACGCGUGAAGUUGACCGCCUGGGGAGUACGGUCGCAAGAUUAAAACUCAAAGGAAUUGACGGGGACCCGCACAAGCGGUGGAUGAUGUGGAUUAAUUCGAUGCAACGCGAAAAACCUUACCUACCCUUGACAUGUACGGAAGCUCCCUGCUGAGAGGUGGAGGUGUGCCCGAAAGGGAGCCGUAACACAGGUGCUGCAUGGCUGUCGUCAGCGUACCGUGUCGUGAG